rnacentral:rRNA from 1 species
UGGGGAAUUUUGGACAAUGGGCGAAAGCCUGAUCCAGCAAUGCCGCGUGUGUGAAGAAGGCCUUCGGGUUGUAAAGCACUUUUGUCCGGAAAGAAAUCCUUGGCUCUAAUACAGUCGGGGGAUGACGGUACCGGAAGAAUAAGCACCGGCUAACUACGUGCCAGCAGCCGCGGUAAUACGUAGGGUGCAAGCGUUAAUCGGAAUUACUGGGCGUAAAGCGUGCGCAGGCGGUUUGCUAAGACCGAUGUGAAAUCCCCGGGCUCAACCUGGGAACUGCAUUGGUGACUGGCAGGCUAGAGUAUGGCAGAGGGGGGUAGAAUUCCACGUGUAGCAGUGAAAUGCGUAGAGAUGUGGAGGAAUACCGAUGGCGAAGGCAGCCCCCUGGGCCAAUACUGACGCUCAUGCACGAAAAGCGUGGGGAGCAAAACAGGAUUAGAUACCCCUGGUAGUCCACGCCCUAAAACGAUGUCAACUAGUUGUUGGGGAUUCAUUUCCUUAGUAACGUAGCUAACGCGUGAAGUUGACCGCCUGGGGAGUACGGUCGCAAGAUUAAAACUCAAAUGAAUUGACGGGG